CUACGGGAGGCAGCAGGCGAGAAAACUUUGCAAUGUGCGAAAGCAUGACAAGGUUAAUCCGAGUGGUUUGUGCUAAACGAACCUUUUGACAGUCCUAGAAACACUGUUGAAUAAGGGGUGGGCAAGUUCUGGUGUCAGCCGCCGCGGUAAAACCAGCACCUCAAGUGGUCAGGAUGAUUAUUGGGCCUAAAGCAUCCGUAGCCGGCUCUGUAAGUUUUCGGUUAAAUCUGUACGCUCAACGUACAGGCUGCCGGGAAUACUGCAGAGCUAGGGAGUGGGAGAGGUAGACGGUACUCGGUAGGAAGGGGUAAAAUCCUUUGAUCUAUUGAUGACCACCUGUGGCGAAGGCGGUCUACCAGAACACGUCCGACGGUGAGGGAUGAAAGCUGGGGGAGCAAACCGGACUAGAUACCCCAGUAGUC
rnacentral:rRNA from 1 species